rnacentral:lncRNA from 1 species
AGCACUGGAGGUCAGAAAAAUAGCCCAAAGAGACCAAAAUGCUUAUUCUUUGAAGUUGCAUUGUAGAUGUAUUCGGUGCUUUGAGAAAUGAGAAAGCAAACCUGAACACAAUGUGUGUGGGAGGAUGCUGUACAGUCCAGAUUGGAAUCAGAGAUGUGUUCUCCUCCUAUGCAGACCGAAGGAAGAAAAUCCUCUUAGUGAAUCUCCUUGACGUGUUCAAGAAAGCAUUAUCUUUACAGCUUGGAGUUUGUGAAGUCCACAGACUAAGGACGCACCAGCAGGGAGGAAAGCGCUCACUUUGUCCCUGCCACUUCACACUCAGGGUCACAGGCAAUGACAGAACAAAACUGGCACCACAGAUCAAAUUGCGGAAACAUUGGUUUUGGAUCCUUGUACUUUUGCCUCUGAAGUCUCCGCAGGGGGGUUCCUGUGGUCCCUCUCUGGUAGAGCCUCACAGAUUCCAUCUGAAGUGUAGUUGCUUGCCAAAUCUACUCAUCAUCCCCCUGCUCCCUGACUGUGGAACCCAACUACCCCUCUCAUCUUCAAGGAGAAUUAUGCUUUAUGCUCCUCAUCAACAAAAUAAAAGGUCAAGCCCUUAA